rnacentral:rRNA from 1 species
ACCCAAAGGACUUGACGGUACCCCAUAUCCCCCUAGAGGAGCCUGUCCUAUAAUCGAUAAUCCACGUUUAACCUCACCAUUUUUAGUUAAUCAGCCUGUAUACCUCCGUCGUCAGCUUACCACGUGAGCGCCAAUUAGUGAGCCCAAUGUUAUUUCACCAACACGUCAGGUCAAGGUGCAGCAAAUGAAAUGGGAAGAGAUGGGCUACACUUUCUAUUAUAGAAGAAACGAAAAACUACCUAUGAAACCUAGUUGGAAGGCGGAUUUAGCAGUAAAAAGAAAUCAGCAUAUUCAUUUUAACCCGGCACUGGGGUGUGU